GGAUUGUGGCUCAGUGGUAGAGUGCUCGCCUAGCAUGCAUGAGGCCUUGGGUUCGAACCUCAGCACCA
rnacentral:tRNA from 1 species